GUCCGGUUUUGUUUGUAAAGAUUAAAACUUUAUGAUCAUUGACCUUUAACCUUAUUGAUGAAAACCGUUGAAGCUGGUUGAUCAAUUGUGCGGAUUAAUUUAUACGUUUUAUUGAUACUCACGAACAACUUAAACUUAAGUUAAAAAUUAUAUGUGGUAAGUUUCGACAUUGUAAAUGGAAAUUCAUUUGAUUAAGUGAUAAAGUGUGUAAUAAAUGCGUUUUGAGACAAAAUUCUGUACAUUUUCACGAAGCAUGCUGUUUUGGUUUAUUACCACGUGUUCAGAUAUAUUGUCAACUUUUGCUACACAAAUUUUAUACAUGAAAAUAUAUUAA
rnacentral:lncRNA from 1 species